rnacentral:rRNA from 1 species
UGCCUACGGGAGGCAGCAGUGAGGAAUAUUGGUCAAUGGGCUUACGCCUGAACCAGCCAAGUCGCGUGAGGGAAGACUGCCCUAUGGGUUGUAAACCUCUUUUGUCAGGGAGCAACGCCGGCUACGUGUAGCCGGACUGAGAGUACCCGAAGAAAAAGCAUCGGCUAACUCCGUGCCAGCAGCCGCGGUAAUACGGAGGAUGCGAGCGUUAUCCGGAUUUAUUGGGUUUAAAGGGUGCGUAGGCGGAAUGCCAAGUCAGCGGUAAAAUCGUGGGGCCCAACCCCAUCCCGCCGUUGAAACUGGCG